AGAUUAGAAAAUCAUAAGACAGCAUUAAAAAUAUUAUGCAGGAGGAGAUGGAACAAGAUGGUCAAAUAGAAGCCUCCAGCAAUCAACUCCCCCACAGGAGUCCCAAAAUUGAACAACUAUCUAAACAAAAAAAAGUACCUUCAUAAGAACCAAAAAUCAGGCAUACAAUAGUUGACAAAACAGCCAUCUUUCUUCCCUGUAUGGCGCUUACAGUAUAGUGAAUUAUUUCAUGAGACAGAUAUCUACUGAAGGUGUUUUGGGAGGCAGAGCUUUGGAGGGAAUAAUUUGCCAACACUGUACAACAUAAAGGUAUCAUCAGGGCCCAAGGAAGGAAAAGAUUUGCAGAUGUCUUGACCACCACCACAUGUACAGCAUCCCCCUAGGACUCCUCCAUGUCAACCCUGUGGGAACCCAGGCAACAGAAUCAAUGUAAACAUGAAGUUAUGCUGCCUGCUGUGUCAUGAUAAUGUCCCUUGUCUCUCAAUCAGGAGCGUCAUGUCUUCU